GAUUACUGUCCAGAGCAAAGUCCUUGCGUGUUUCCUUUCUGGAGGGGGAUCAAGCUCUGAAAGCAAGCCUUCCUGCGGCCCGGCCGGUGACACCCACUGCUGGUUUAUUUUAUCUGUCUCCACCUGCAGAGCGGGGAGUUAAUCUGCUGCCCGGGCCGGCCAGCAGAUGACUGCUGUGCUUUCCACCUGACACGCAGCCUUGUCCUGGGCCAGCACAGUGUGUGCACCGCCCAGCUCCACAUCUGAACAGGACUCCGUGUAACUCGAUCUGUUUUCUUUCUUCGCUAUAGUCUCUGCGUGCCAAAUUUAACUGUGCUCCGAUCUGCGCAAACAAGCCGGGAAGGACCUCAGAACCCAGGUCACCAGGAGCCAGAGGCCCAGGGCAGACCCCUCUCUUCAAAAGCCUCAUUUGUGUCCCGCAAAACUACAAAAGCUGAUGUCUUGGGAAGGUUCACAGGAGAGACAGGGACCUGCUCUCCAUGAUCUGGACAGCUCAGAUUUGGCCCCAUUUGUUCAAAGCAGAAAGUUUCAAAUGAAAAGCCGAGGAAGACAAAUGGAAAGCAACACCGAGCGGAUCGCGGAUCGUCGCGACCAUCUGCCAGGCACAUCUCCCUCCCGGUGCCUUUAAAAAUCACGGAGCUGCACCCUUCCCUGUCAUCGA